UGUGUCCUACGGGAGGCAGCAGUGAGGAAUAUUGGUCAAUGGGAGAGAUCCUGAACCAGCCAAGCCGCGUGAGGGAAGACGGCCCUAUGGGUUGUAAACCUCUUUUGUCGGAGAACAAAACCCGGGACGUGUCCCGGACUGCGCGUAUCCGAAGAAAAAGCAUCGGCUAACUCCGUGCCAGCAGCCGCGGUAAUACGGAGGAUGCGAGCGUUAUCCGGAUUUACUGGGUGUAAAGGGCGUGUAGGCGGGAAAGCAAGUCAGAUGUGAAAACCAUGGGCUCAACCUGUGGCCUGCUU
rnacentral:rRNA from 1 species